UUUUGCAAACAGUAUGCAUGCUUUGGAAUAUUUUUAUUCUGUACAGGCUUCCUUCUUUUCACUCUGUCAAUUAGGUUAGUAUUGUGGAGUAACUACAAUGUUGUUGAUCCAUCCUCAGUUUUCUCCUAUCACAGCCAUUAAACUCUAACUGUUUAAAGUCACCAUUGGCCUCAUGGUAAAAUCCCUUCCUCUCCGGCAACUUAAUUCGGAAGGACGCCUGAAUCUUUGUAGUGACAGGGUUUAUUGAUACACCAUCCAAAGUGUAAUUAAUCAUUUCACCAUGCUCAAAGGGAUAUUUAAUGUCUGCUUUUUUUAUUUGAACCCAUCUACCAAUAGGUGCCGUUCUUUGCGAGGCACUGGAAAACCUCCCUGUUCUUUGUGGUUGAAUCUGUGUUUGAAAUUCACUGCUUGACUGAGGGACCAUACAAUUAUUUGUAUGUGUGGGGUACAGAUAUGAGGUAGUCAUUCAAAAAUCAUGUUCAACACUAUUAUUGCACAUAGUCCAUGCAACUUAUUAUGUGGUUUUUAAGCAAAUGUUUACUUCUGAACUUAUUUAGGCGUGCCAUUACAAAAGGUUUGAAUACUUAUUGACACAAGACAUUUCUGCUUUUCAUUUUUAAUUAAUUUGUAAAACAUGUAUAAACAUGAUUCAACUUUGACAUUAUCAGGUACUGUGUGUAGGGCAGUGACCAAAAAAAUCUACAUUUAAUCCAUUUUUAAAUUAAUUCUGUAACACAACCAAAUGUGGAAAAAGUUGAGGGGUGUGAAUACAUUCUGAAGGCACUGUAAAUAGACUUUGAAGCACGAAUGGGUCACACAUCUAAUGUGGGGAUCAUGUUACCUCAAUGUUCUCACAUAGACACAUCAAUAGCACACUGGCUAAAGACAUUAUAUUUACUGGGUUUAGACCUUAUAUGGGCCUUUCUUUUGUUAACUAUGUGGUAGGGCGUUUUUUCGCCCUCAGGACUGGAUGUUGGAGAGUAGUGCCAUUUAUCUUGUCAGUUAGCCAGCCAUUCCCCAGAGGAGUUGCCAUUUUGAAACCUUACUUGUUUAUCCUCUGAUAACUUCUCAUAUCUGUCACCUUGAAAAUCAGGGAUUCUCCUGUUCAUCUUGUAUUAAUAGUUUAUUUAUUCAUGGUUUUGGGAGUGGAAUCAUGUAAAUGAGACAGUGUAUCUUUGACAUACUUGUACAGUUGUAGAAAAUUAUGGUAGGUUCAUUGAUGGUGAGUAUUGUUUGUUAAGGUGUGCCAAUGUACUGUGUAGCCCAAGUUAGGUCAAUAUAACUUGUGAGGCUGUUGAGCUAUGUAAAUGGAAUAGUACUUAUGAUAUUAGCACACGUUUUUUGACAUAUUGAACAUACUUAAAGUAACCAUCCAGUGUUUCCAGAUUUCUAUGAAAAAUGACCCUAAAAUUAAUUACAAUUUGAGUGAAAUACUUUUCCUUCCAAAAAUGGGUUAUUAAGCAUGUUGAAACACAGCUUUUCUGGGUUGGAAUUGUGUGUGCGUACCCCAACAACAGAAUGGUGUGGGGGUAUACCGGUCAUUAAAAAUGUUCAUGCAAGUUGACUGAAGAUUGCCCUGCUCAGCCAAUGAGGCAGGAUGACAUCAUUUGUCAAUGAGUAAAUAGCAAGUAUUUUUGAAAUGGUCUGUUUGAGAUACAAGUUUGAGGUGGAGUUUUUUGUGUUUUUUUUUCUCUCCAAUUUAUCCUUUGGCCACAAAUCUGAGUAUAAGACAAAUCAACAACAUUAUUUGGGUAUGAGUUAACAGAAUAUAUACUUUUAAAAGUUAGGUUUUCCCUGGACAGUUACUUUAAGUUUAAUGAGUCAUGCAUUUCAGUUUUGGAAAUAGUAUUCUUAAAGGCACUUAUACCUAGUUUGAACCAGAGCAUGCCUUUCUAGUGACUUUUUGCCAGUAGGCUACCUGCUAGAUAGUCUCUUCACACUUUUGUACAGUCAGCCACAUAAAGAGGUAUGUGAAAAAUAAUACAAGAAAGGUAGUAUAUCUCAUUUUUAAAUUAUGCCUGGGAUAAGUCAUAAGACUUGCGGUUAAAGUAGGCUGUUUUGCUUUCUAGGUUUGUGAUGCUAGGUCGGUUUUACAGUUUAUACUAUUUCAAUUCAAACAGGAUUUGACUGAUGUUAUAUUUCCAAACAACAAUUGAUAUGUUUAACUGGAAAGCUCAAUUACAUAUACUAAAACCUCAAUAUAUUUAUCAUACAAUAUUUAACUAUAUUUUUGGGAAGUAGGUAUAAAUAAAUGUACAAAUGCACAAAAAGAUUACUGUACUGUAGUUUGUAGUUACACAACAUCUGAUAAUCAACAUAUUGAAUAUAGUUUGUGGUUUCUUACUACUCUUAUAGCCUAAUAAAUAUUGUUUUUAGAUAAUUUAUGACUGACAUUGUUGAUAUAUUGUUAUUUUUUUAAUCAGCACGCGUUAAUGGAUUUUGAAUUUAAGAUAUGAUCCUUGAAGAAUGAACGUUAAAUCCUAAAAUGUUUUGUAAAAAAGGUGACAAUUGGUACUUACGCCACCACAACGAGGAAUAUGCCACAAUCUGUUCACCAAUAGCUUUCUAGGUAUUGUUAAAGAAAAUUAAAGUGGACUAAGAUUUUGCACUAGUUGCUACUUUUGUGACUAUGUAUUACGGGUGCCCUGGGAAAUAAAGAGCAAACUAUCUUCAUUUUGAGGAUAAAAAACAUAAUGAUUAAACAAUAGGACUAACUGAAUUUGUUUGGGAAGAUGUUUCUGCUUUUGCUUCCUUAUAUUAGUGAUGACAUUUUGUAGUAUACUGUAUAAUACGAUACUACACAUGUUAGUAUCCCUUGAUCAGGUUCCAUGAUCAAACAUGUUUUUAGAAAUUUUUGCAAAUGUAUUGAAAAUGAAAUACAGAAAUAUCUAAUUUACAUAAGUAUUCACACCCCUGAGUCAAUACAUGUUAGAAUCACCUUUGACAGUGAUUACAGCUGUGAGUCUUUCUGGGUAAAUCUCUAAGAGCUCUGCACACCUAGAUUGUACAAUAUUUGCACAUUAUUCUUAAAACAAUCUUCAAGCUCUGUCAAGUUGGUUGUUGAUCAUUGCUAGACAUCCAUUUUCGAGUCUUGCUAUAGAUUUUCAAGCCGAUUUAAGUCAAAACUGUAACUAGGCCACUCAGGAAUAUUUAAUGUCAUCUUGGUAAGCAACUCCAGUGUGUUUAGCCUUGUGCUUUAGGUUAGUGUCCUGCUGUAAGGUGAAAAGAACCUGGACCAACAAAGGUAUUGCAAGUGUCUGGAACAGGUCAUUUUUCAUUAUUUUUCAGCAUUCUUGAUUACUAGUAUGCAAAUUGUAUUUUUGUAUCGGCUGCUAACGAAACAAAAGACAAUCAUUUUAGAGUGACAGUCUUUUUCAUGUGAAAGCUAACAUUGGUGCAUUUAAUUCAAAGUAGGAACUCUAUGUCUACUGUAUGCGGUACAAAAUAUGGUAUUUGAAAUGAUGCUACGGUAUUUGCUUCCACAUUGCUUUUAUCAGAAGUUCUGUAGGUUUUCGGGUUAUCUGGAGAAAUGUAAUCUAAUUAUCAAUUGAAAAUAAAUUCCUCGGAAUGAUAGGCCUAGGUACUGUUAAAUAAAAUUAAAGUGGACAGUCUGAGAUUUAGCACUAGUUAGUUGCUACUUUUGUGACUGUAUUACAGGUGUCCUGGGAAAAUAAAGAGCAAACUAACUUCACUUUGAGGAUAAAAAACAAUGAUUAAGCAAUAGGACCAAUUGAGCUUGGUUAGGAAGAUAUUUCUGCUCUCGUGUCCAUUAUAUUAGUGGUGAAAUUAAACUACCUCACAUAAAUUAGCAUGUGUCUUUAGAUUUUACUAUCUAACAAAAGUUGCUCACAUUUUUCCAGAACUCUUUCCUAAAACUUUCUUUGUCACCAUUUUGGAUAUUUUCUUCUUAUAGAAGAACUUUGUGAAUGUUUUGUACAAACAAAAUGUUUUCAGCAAUAAAUGUUUGCUCCCUGUGUAACAUUUCAUAGGUGAUGUUGUUUGGAAAACUCUACUUCACUAGGUUAAAUUAAUGAUUUAAAUGAUAUUACCUGUGGGCUAUUUCUCUUAUGCUGUGUAAAUGGAACAACCUAUGACACCCUUCCACAGGGUGGUGUAUUCUGAGACGGUCAAAUAAUGUAGGGUUGUCUUGAUACCAGUAUUGCGAUACCACGGUACUGAGUUUUCCAUGGCAAAAAGAAAACAUAAAGCAGACUGAACUCUAUGGUCCUUUAAAAAACCUGCUGUAUGUAAAAUAUUGUGUGAUAUGGCUUGGGAAUAAACAAAUGUGACUCUAGGUGACAACAGAAGGCUUUGGCCGUGUUCAAGAACAUAAAAACCGUCAUAUAUCAUGGGUAACUUGUGACUGACAGAGUAGUUAUUUAAUAACCAAGGGGAUUUGUAAAUCAGUCAGUCUCGACUCACCUUUAAAGUCAGCUGCAAUGUUGAACUGCGUGUUUGCAACAUUUGAAAAAAAUUCUAAAGAAAUUAGGUCAGCUUCAUGUUUUGUUUCCAUUCCAAGAUACUUCAGAGUAUUGCGAUACUGUUAUUGUGACAACCACAGAAUGUAGAAGAGUAGCUGCUGCCUUUUCAACCACCAGAGGACUUGAAAAUGAGCCGGAGCUGAGAGGAUCACCAAAACUGAAGAGCAUACAACCAUGCUGACAACCAUCUGUGGAGAUCAGAAGACAAAGGGCUGGACAACGGGCCGCACCGAAAAAAUAACUUGACAAACUGCUCACCAGGCACAGCAAGGGCCGUCCGGACCGUUAUGCUGUUCUGCUAUUCCAAGGAUGUGCAACCAAAGAGAGAUACCACGAGUGGACACAGAAUACCAACUGGGAUGGAUCCCGAGGCAAAUGUGGCUUACCAGUGAACCUCCGGGUGUUCAUCAUUAAUACUGUGUCUCAGAAGUUUCCGUCCAUGACUGAUGCAACCCAGAAAAAGCAUUAAAGAUAGAGUUAAUGAGUACUUGAGGUCACUGAGAAAGUCUGGACAUGGCUUGUUCUCCCUUAUGUAAGGAAUUAAGCAGUUUACCAUGUUUACUAUGUACUGUAGGCUAUGUUUACUUGUCAGACUGCAUAGUAGCCUAAUAAACAUAUGCAGGCAGCUUCUAUCUUCAAUGUGCUUUAAAUACUUUAUUAUCCCAAUGUUUAAAGUGCGUGUAGACAACCUCAUGGAACCGCAAAAUGUCGGAUAAAGAAUAUACUGUACAGCAUUACAGUAUCUUUAUGCAUUCGUUAA